CCUACGGGAGGCAGCAGUGAGGAAUAUUGGUCAAUGGACGCAAGUCUGAACCAGCCAUGCCGCGUGCAGGAAGACGGCUCUAUGAGUUGUAAACUGCUUUUGUACGAGGGUAAACGCAGAUACGCGUAUCUGUCUGAAAGUAUCGUACGAAUAAGGAUCGGCUAACUCCGUGCCAGCAGCCGCGGUAAUACGGAGGAUUCAAGCGUUAUCCGGAUUUAUUGGGUUUAAAGGGUGCGUAGGCGGUCGGAUAAGUUAGAGGUGAAAUCCCGAGGCUCAACUUCGGAAUUGCCUCUGAUACUGUUAGGCUAGAGAGUAGUUGCGGUAGGCGGAAUGUAUGGUGUAACGGUGAAAUGCUUAGAGAUCAUACAGAACACCGAUUGCGAAGGCAGCUUACCAAGCUACGUCUGACGUUGAGGCACGAAAGCGUGGGGAGCAAACAGGAUUAGAUACCCCAGUAGUC
rnacentral:rRNA from 1 species